UAAUUGAAGGGCCGCGGUAUUUUGACCGUGCGAAGGUAGCAUAAUCAAUAACCUUUUAAUUGAAGGUUUGUAUGAAUGGUUGGACGAGAAAUAAACUGUUUUUUAUUUAAAAUUUAAAUUUAACUUUUAAGUGAAAAGGCUUAAAUUUUAUAAAAAGACGAUAAGACCCUAUAAAUCUUUAUAUUAUAWUAAAAUUAAAGUAAUUUAUAAGUGAAACUCUUUUUAUUUUGGAUAAUAUUGUGUUGGGGCGACAUAGAUAUUUAAUUAACUGUUUAAAAUUUUUACAAUAUAUAAUUGAUUAWAUUUUAAAGAUCCUUAUUAUAGAUUAUAAGAUUAAGUUACUUUAGGGAUAACAGCGUUAUUUUAUUUAAGAGUUCUUAUCGAAAAUAAAGUUUGCGACCUCGAUGUUGAAUUAAAAUUUCUUUGUGGUGCAGCAGCU
rnacentral:rRNA from 1 species